rnacentral:misc_RNA from 1 species
CGUGCCGGAUCUGGGGCUGCACAAUGCUCCCGUGUCGACCGAGAAACUCGUUCAAAAUCGUCCACGAGCUCGACGAACACGCGUUAUUUCACCCUCCCUAUAAUAGGCGCAAUUUCCCGUGUACAAAAUACACGUGCGCGGUUUCAUAAGGGGCUGCAAGAGUUUUCGCGACAAGGAGCCUGAAUAAAUUUGUGGCAUGUAAAUAUUGACGCGCUCGUGCCACUGUUUUAGUCGUGUCUCUCGUCAGCUGUGCGAAAAUUUUAGGAUUACGGAACGGGCUUAAAGAAACGUCUGCGAGGAUGAUGGAUAAAAAAUUGGUGGUGAGAAUUGGGAAAGUUCGACGAGCAAUUGGGAAGAAAUACAGCGAUUCGUGGGCUAGAGAGUUUGAUGCACCCAGUGGGUUCUUGAGAUACUUACAGGAGUGUGAUGGAUCGGAGAAAUUUUACUUUCAUAUCGUAUGACGGAUACUUGUUGCGGUUUGAUAUUUUUAUUUAUGUAAAGCUGAUCUAGUUGAUAGAUAAACAGUUGUGACGUUUUUCCAAUUUCUAUAAGAGACUAUUAAGUGUACAAAUUUGUUAAACACGUUCAAAUACGUAAUAUAGAAAUAUUCAAAAAAGAAAGUUAAAUUUUUUCAGGGAUGAAGUUAUUGAGAUCGGA